AAUGAACGCUGGCGGCAGGCCUAACACAUGCAAGUCGAACGAAGCCUUCGGGUUUAGUGGCGGACGGGUGAGUAACGCGUGGGAACGUGCCCUUUGGUACGGAAUAGCCCCGGGAAACUGGGAGUAAUACCGUAUGUGCCCUUUUGUUGUAGUGACGGGAGGGGAAAGAUUUAUCGCCAAAGGAUCGGCCCGCGUUGGAUUAGGUAGUUGGUGGGGUAAUGGCCUACCAAGCCGACGAUCCAUAGCUGGUUUGAGAGGAUGAUCAGCCACACUGGGACUGAGACACGGCCCAGACUCCUACGGGUGGCUG
rnacentral:rRNA from 1 species